GAGUCAGAUGUUCCUGAGUGGAGAUAUACCUUUUUGGGUCUUCCUCAGAUGAUUUGGUUGAUUGAUAUCUCUCACCCUUAUACCGGUCUUAGAUAUUCAUUCUCCCGGAGCAUGUUUUCCCCUCACCCUUAUACCGGUGGAAUCACAUGAUCUCUUUUUGAGCUUAUUACCCAGUAACCGGUAGUACCUCAUUUGUUUUUCUC
rnacentral:lncRNA from 1 species